UACAGAGGGGGCAAGCGUUAUUCGGAAUUAUUGGGCGUAAAGGGCGCGUAGGCGGCCUGGCAAGUGGAAGGUGAAAUCCCUCGGCUUAACCGAGGAACUGCCCUCCAAACUGCUUGGCUUGAGUCCGGGAGAGGUGAGUGGAAUUCCCAGUGUAGCGGUGAAAUGCGCAGAUAUCGGGAAGAACACCCGUGGCGAAGGCGGCUCUCUGGAACGCAACUGACGCUGAGACGCGAAAGCGUGGGGGAGCAAACAGG
rnacentral:rRNA from 1 species